rnacentral:rRNA from 1 species
UGGGGAAUAUUGGACAAUGGGCGCAAGCCUGAUCCAGCCACGCCGCGUGAGUGAUGAAGGCCUUCGGGUCGUAAAGCUCUGUGGGGAGGGACGAACCGCCAGGGGUUAAUACCCUCUGGCAUGACGGUACCUCCUUAGCAAGCACCGGCUAACUUCGUGCCAGCAGCCGCGGUAAUACGAAGGGUGCAAACGUUGCUCGGAAUCAUUGGGCGUAAAGCGCACGUAGGCGGCUUUGCAAGUCGGACGUGAAAUCCCUCAGCUCAACUGAGGAAGUGCAUCCGAAACUGCAAGGCUUGAGUACUGAAGAGGAUCGCGGAAUUCCCGGUGUAGAGGUGAAAUUCGUAGAUAUCGGGAGGAACACCAGUGGCGAAGGCGGCGAUCUGGGCAGAUACUGACGCUGAGGUGCGAAAGCGUGGGGAGCAAACAG